AGUGAACGCUGGCGGUAGGCCUAACACAUGCAAGUCGAACGGCAGCACAGUAAGAGCUUGCUCUUACGGGUGGCGAGUGGCGGACGGGUGAGGAAUACAUCGGAAUCUACUUUUUCGUGGGGGAUAACGUAGGGAAACUUACGCUAAUACCGCAUACGACCUACGGGUGAAAGCAGGGGAUCUUCGGACCUUGCGCGAUUGAAUGAGCCGCUGUCGGACUAGCUAGUUGGCGGGGUAAAGGCCCACCAAGGCGACGAUCCGUAGCUGGUCUGAGAGGAUGAUCAGCCACACUGGAACUGAGACACGGUCCAGACUCCUACGGGAGGCAGCAGUGGGGAAUAUUGGACAAUGGGCGCAAGCCUGAUCCAGCCAUACCGCGUGGGUGAAGAAGGCCUUCGGGUUGUAAAGCCCUUUUGUUGGGAAAGAAAAGCAGCAGGUUAAUACCCCGCUGUUCUGACGGUACCCAAAGAAUAAGCACCGGCUAACUUCGUG
rnacentral:rRNA from 1 species